rnacentral:lncRNA from 1 species
GAGUCAUUCUGAUAGAUCUGAGCACAAGAGAGCUUCAGAGGCUUUAUCUGGUGAUAAUGAAAUGAUUGAAAAGUGAAGAACUGAUGAAAUAUUGUGAACUAUAACUUCUGUGUAGUUAUCAUGGCUAUCAGGAAACAAAAACCUAAGGAGAGGGAAGGGAUUAGAAGUUGAUGACUGAGGACAACUGAGGACUGUAAAGUGUACAUAAUAGAAUUGCAUGACAGACCAGAAAUAAUCAGAACUUCCGUCUUCAUAAAGAGUGCUACACUAAAGAGGAAUAUGCCCAAUUUGAAUAGUGCAACUCUAAUUCUGUGAGAACCAUGCAGUCAAGAUGCAUUGCACUUGCACAAUAUUUUAACAUCAUAAAGAAUAUAGCCAGUUAGAAAAAGAAAAAUACGUCUUCCUGGAGGUCAAGAAGGUGGAAAAGCAACAAAACUUCUGGAUGCAGAGUCCUCAUUUAUAAGCUUGUCAGGGUAAUUAGUGAU